rnacentral:rRNA from 1 species
GACGAACGCUGGCGGCGUGCCUAACACAUGCAAGCCGAACGCGUCUGUGCUUCGGCACAGAUGAGUGGCGAACGGGUGAGUAACGCGUGAGUAACUCCCCUUGGGGAGGGGGAUAACCAUCUGAAAAGGUGGCUAAUACCCCAUAUUCUCUUUUCUCAUAAGAGGAAGGAGGAAAGGUGGCGCAAGCUGCCACCCCGAGAGAGGCUCGCGUCCCAUCAGCUAGUUGGUAGGGUAAUGGCCUACCAAGGCUAUGACGGGUAGCUGGUCUGAGAGGAUGGUCAGCCACACUGGGACUGAGACACGGCCCAGACUCCUACGGGAGGCAGCAGUGAGGAAUCUUGGGCAAUGGGCGAAAGCCUGACCCAGCGACGCCGCGUGGAGGAAGAAGGCCUUCGGGCGUAAACGUCCUGUUUGGGAGAAGAACAAGAGAGAAGUAAUAGCUUCUCUCUCUGACGGUAUCCCCGGAGAAAGCUCCGGCUAAUACGUGCCAGCAGCCGAC